CUUUUGGUUUACUUUGUAGAAGUAGCAAUAUUUUGGCUCAAAUCUGAAUAAAGAGAAGGAUAUGAAAAGAAUUAAAGGAAGCACAUCAAAUUCCUGGAAACUUUCAUUAUUUUGAUGCAUAUGUGCAAGAGAGAUAGCUUGUUGGAAGAGAACUCAAGAUGCAAACUGAUAUAGGUUGUACAUGGACUAUCACUUUUUAACAUUUUUUCAUGUGAAUCAUGGUGGGAAAGAAGAAUCAGAACAAAAGGGAAAAAUCAUGAAAAAAAAACAAAACAACUCAGCAAAAAAGGUGAAAAUAGUAUGCUUCGAUCUCCAUUCAGUCUCCCUAAUUCUUUCUCUGGAUGUGGAUGGCAUUUUUCAUCCAAUGUCUAUUGGAAUUGUCUUGCAUCACUAUUAUUAUUAAGAAGAGCUUAGUCUAUCAUAGUUGAUACCUUGCUGUUAUUGUGUACUAUGUUUUCCUGGUUCUGCUCACUUCACUCAGCAUCAGUUCAUAUAAGUCUUUCUAGACUUUUCUGAAAUCAGUCUGGUCAUCAUAUUUUAUAGAAUAAUGAUAUUCUAUUACAUUCUUAAGCCAUAACUUAUUUUAGCAUUCCCCAGUUGAUGAAUAUCCACUCAAUUUCUAAUUCCUUGCCACUACAGAAAUUGCUGCUACAAACAUUUUUGUAUAUGUAGGUCUUCUUCAUUUUUUCAUGAUUUUUUGGGAUACAAAUCCAGUAGUGGCACUUCUGGAUCAAAGGAUAUGCACAAUUUUAUAGUCCUUUGGGCAUAAUUCCAAAUUGCUCUUCAGAAUGUCUGGAUCAUUUCACAAUUCUACUAACAAUGCAUUUGGGUCCCUAUUUUCCCAUAUUCCCUCUAACAUUCAUCAUUAUCUUUUUUGGUCAUUUUAGUUGUAAGGUGAUGUGUCCUAGUGGUUUUAAUUUGCAUUUCUCUAAUCAAUAAUUGUAUAGAGCAUUUUUUAAAUAUGAUCAUAGAUGGCUUUAAUUUCUUUAUCUGAAAAUUGCCUUUUCUUGUCCUUUGACCAUUAAUCAGUUGGGGAAUGACUUGUAUUCUCAUAAAUUUGAGUUCUCUAUAUAUUUUGGAAAUGAGGCCUUUGUUAGAAACACUGAUUUAAAAAAUUAUUUCUCAGCUUUCUGCUUCCCUUCUAAUCUUGGAAUCGUUUGUUUUGUUUGUGUAAAUGCUUUUUAAUUUAAUGUAAUCAAAAAUAUCCAUUUUAAAGUAAAG